rnacentral:rRNA from 1 species
AGUCGAACGAGCGAGAGAGAGCUUGCUUUCUCGAGCGAGUGGCGAACGGGUGAGUAACGCGUGAGGAACCUGCCUCAAAGAGGGGGACAACAGUUGGAAACGACUGCUAAUACCGCAUAAGCCCACAGGUCGGCAUCGACCAGAGGGAAAAGGAGCAAUCCGCUUUGAGAUGGCCUCGCGUCCGAUUAGCUAGUUGGUGAGGUAAUGGCCCACCAAGGCGACGAUCGGUAGCCGGACUGAGAGGUUGAACGGCCACAUUGGGACUGAGACACGGCCCAGACUCCUACGGGAGGCAGCAGUGGGGAAUAUUGCACAAUGGGGGAAACCCUGAUGCAGCGACGCCGCGUGGAGGAAGAAGGUCUUCGGAUUGUAAACUCCUGUUGUUGAGGAAGAUAAUGACGGUACUCAACAAGGAAGUGACGGCUAACUACGUGCCAGCAGCCGCGGUAAAACGUAGGUCACAAGCGUUGUCCGGAAUUACUGGGUGUAAAGGGAGCGCAGGCGGGAAGACAAGUUGGAAGUGAAAUCUAUGGGCUCAACCCAUAAACUGCUUUCAAAACUGUUUUUCUUGAGUAGUGCAGAGGUAGGCGGAAUUCCCGGUGUAGCGGUGGAAUGCGUAGAUAUCGGGAGGAACACCAGUGGCGAAGGCGGCCUACUGGGCACCAACUGACGCUGAGGCUCGAAAGUGUGGGUAGCAAACAGGAUUAGAUACCCUGGUAGUCCACACCGUAAACGAUGAUUACUAGGUGUUGGAGGAUUGACCCCUUCAGUGCCGCAGUUAACACA